rnacentral:lncRNA from 1 species
UUUUGACAGUACGAUCAUUUUUCAAGGGUGUGCGGCAAAGUGGUCGACAAAGAGAAACGACGAAUAAGUUGAAGUCGGUGCGAAAUGGCGAGACAUUUUUUAGCAGGCAAUGCUGAGUCUCCUAUAAAUAUGUAAUACCAAUCUUCUAGCCGACUGUACCAAGCAUUUUUACCCUUUCUAGACUGGCGUCGUUUGUCACAUCUUGUCAAAUUAAGCCUUGAACUUCCUUUUCGUGGCAACGAGCGUGACGCACAAGAAACUCUUGCAAAUAAGUAGUGUGACGUUACGCAACCCAUACUGAGAGAUAUCUCUAGAGGGGUACCGAAUCGAUAAUGUAUAGUAUGUAUGUGUAAUACGAAUAGUAAUCCUACUUAAUGGCUCUCGGAGACGACAGAUUGACCAAGCCAAUUGUUCAAACAUCGGGUUAGGAAGAUGAUGGAUGGAAUUGAAGGCAAUGAAUAAAUGGAUCUUGGCAAUGAGCUUGACGACGUGCCUCCUCGUUUCUCCUUCUUCUUCUUCUACUUCUUCUUCUUCUUCUGACAUUAUAAGAAUCAUCUUUGAGUACACUUUGAGAAAAAGUAUUUGAAUUGAUGGGAUAAUAUCUUUGCGACACUGUAGCCAAUUUUGAUGGGAAUUUUGUAAUAGCCAAAGGAUGACACACAGUGCACACUCGUGUAAGCGAAUUUGGGAAAUGCGCUAGCUGGGUUUUCACCUACGGCGAAUUUACCCUGGUUCGAUGUUUAUAAUUCGAGAAGGGCCUGGCUUUAAUUACCACCCUGCAGUGUUUACACGAGCCGUAAUAUUUGAUGCGACCAGAUAGGACCUCCGUUGACGUGGAUGGACCGCAUAUCGCCAGAGAAAUAUGUAUUAUAUCGAACAUUUUACCGAAAUACAAAGUUUUUCAACAAGAGACUACGAAAGAGAGAAUGACUUGCAUUUUCUAAUCAGGGCAUAUUUACUUGGUACGCGAACAGGGCGCAUAUAACGUGCUUGUUAACAAUGCAAAUGACUCGAAGCUAGGCUAAUAGAAAGAAAGAACGGAAGGAGAAAAGCAACUGGUAAACAAAAUGCAGAAAAAUUGUUCAAUUUCCGCGACCGGAGACUGUUUACCUCCAACGACCAAGGACGCGACAUAACAUAGCUUCAAUAAUUUAUUAUUUUAUUCCUGACUGCAUUGCGGAAACACGCCAACAAAAAUCGUACGUACACCGACGGAGAGCAAAGAAAUUCUCUAAAACCACUCUAACUCCAAGAAUUUAUGAAAAUAUUACGUUCUUCAUUAUUUGAAUUUUCUUAUCUGGGAAAAGAUAGUAAGGAUAAGCGUAAUGUUUGCGGCAGUUUUAAUCUUCUGUAAACAAGCAGUUUAUCAAGAUAAAAAGUUAGUUCACAGAUUAUCGUUCAUAAUAUUUGAUUUACAGUACGGAAGAUUUUGAUCGCGUUUAUACGUAAUUUAUAUUUACGGGAAAAGAUUGUUUUUUUUCUGCCAUUGAAAGUAUCGAUCCCGCUUAACCGAAAAGAUAUCAAGAAUUCCCUUAAAUCUCCACCCUUUCUAUUUUGAACGCUUAAUGCAUCGAUGUUAGAUGAUGGAUAAAUCGCAAAAUCAAACGGGCCCUUCAUCAAUCUCUUAUUGUUCGAACUUGCAAUUGAUCACUCUUUUACUACACAACUGAAUAAAUUAGGUAAAUUUGCGCAAAUAUUCAGAAAAAUAAAGCAUUAAUACAAAAAGGAAAAUACGAAAUAUAUUUACAAUUAAUUAAACAAUUGU